ACACUCCUGCGGGAGGCAGCAGUGGGGAAUAUUGCACAAUGGGCGCAAGCCUGAUGCAGCCAUGCCGCGUGUAUGAAGAAGGCCUUCGGGUUGUAAAGUACUUUCAGCGGGGAGGAAGGCGAUAAGGUUAAUAACCUUGUUGAUUGACGUUACCCGCAGAAGAAGCACCGGCUAACUCCGUGCCAGCAGCCGCGGUAAUACGGAGGGUGCAAGCGUUAAUCGGAAUUACUGGGCGUAAAGCGCACGCAGGCGGUCUGUCAAGUCGGAUGUGAAAUCCCCGGGCUCAACCUGGGAACUGCAUUCGAAACUGGCAGGCUAGAGUCUUGUAGAGGGGGGUAGAAUUCCAGGUGUAGCGGUGAAAUGCGUAGAGAUCUGGAGGAAUACCGGUGGCGAAGGCGGCCCCCUGGACAAAGACUGACGCGCAGGUGCGAAAGCGUGGGGAGCAAACAGGAUUAGAAACCCGGGUAGUCC
rnacentral:rRNA from 1 species